rnacentral:rRNA from 1 species
GCAACUCGACUGCAUGAAGCUGGAAUCGCUAGUAAUCGCGAAUCAGAAUGUCGCGGUGAAUACGUUCCCGGGUCUUGUACACACCGCCCGUCACACCAUGGGAGUUGGAAGCGCCCGAAGUCUGUGACCUAACCGUGAGGGAGGAGCAGCCGAAGGUGAAGCCAGUGACUGGGGUGAAGUCGUAACAAGGUAAC